rnacentral:lncRNA from 1 species
CUACUAUAAAUUUAUGAUGAAAUUAUUUAUUUUUUUAUAAAUGAUAGCAAUAUAAAUAUCGUUAUUAGAUAUAAUAAAAGAAAAAAAAUUGAAUGAUUUUAUUCUAGAUCCACGACAAAUUUGUCCAUCAAUAAUCUCCAAGCCUCCGAACCAUGCAAGAGACCGAUAGGUAGAAGCACUAAUCGGCCCUUCCUGCAUCAUG